UACGAAGGGGGCGAGCGUUGUUCGGAUUUACUGGGCGUAAAGGGCGCGCAGGCGGUGCGGUUUGUCGAGUGUGAAAGCCCCGGGCUCAACCUGGGAACUGCGCUCGGGACGGCGGCACUGGAGAUCGGGAGAGGAGCGUGGAAUUCCCAGUGUAGAGGUGAAAUUCGUAGAUAUUGGGAAGAACACCGGUGGCGAAGGCGGCGCUCUGGACCGAUACUGACGCUGAGGCGCGAAAGCGUGGGGAGCAAACAGG
rnacentral:rRNA from 1 species